rnacentral:lncRNA from 1 species
GAGUUGUGUUUACCGACGAGGUAGAAGUUGCCGGGGAAGGAAGUGAAGGGCUCAUUUCGAGCAUGGAGCGGAAGAUCUGAUCUCACUCAAAUUACCCUAAUGAGUGAAUUACUCUCUCAAAUAAGAGGUUCAGUUGUAGUACUUAGAGAUCGAAUUCACAUGGAGCUAGGGAACCUAAUAAAUCUAAUCAGAGUAAUUAAGCUAGGUUGAUUAUGAUUAAAUGUAAAUAGCAUGUUUGUGAGCUGAUCUCACUCAAAUUACCCUAAGGAGUGAAUUACUCUCAAAUAAGAGAUUCAGUUGUAGUACUUAGGGAUCGAAUUCGCAGGGAGCUAGAGAACCUAAUAAAUCUAAUCAGAUCGAUUAAGCUAGGUUGAUUAUGAUUUAAUGUAAAAGACAGGUUUGUGAGCAAGGCAGUUGCUCGAUUGAUUUGAUUGGGGGUUUUGGUACUUAGAUGAAAGUAGCUAGACUUAGGGUUUUUAUUCAGGUAAUUAGAAUUAUAAUCCUUCAGAUGCCUAACAAGUUGUAUGCAUGAUAUUAUAGAGCUCAACACUUAUAAACAAACCAUUAGGUUCUCGCUUUCUAGGUUGGUCUAUUGACCAGUGUCGAUCGAUGAUUCUAUAGGAAUAUCGAUCGAUACACUUGUUGAACCGUCGACCAAUUAUUCGAUUGGAAUAUCGAUCGA